rnacentral:rRNA from 1 species
UACGGGGGGGCAAGCGUUGUUCGGAAUUACUGGGCGUAAAGGGCUCGUAGGCGGCCAACUAAGUCAGACGUGAAAUCCCUCGGCUUAACCGGGGAACUGCGUCUGAUACUGGAUGGCUUGAAUCCGGGAGAGGGAUGCGGAAUUCCCGGUGUAGCGGUGAAAUGCGCAGAUAUCAGGAGGAACACCAAUGGCGAAGGCAGCACUCUGGGACGUGACUGACGCUGAGACGCGAAAGCGUGGGGAGCAAACAGG